UCAAAGAGAUAUUUAACCUAUCAUUUUCUACUAAAUGGGUUUUCAUCCAUCAACCUUCCCUCAUACUAUAAAUAGCACUCGAGUGAAAGAUCUAAAUCAUCUUUCAAGCUCUUAAGUUUGACGAAACAAAGGAAGAAAUUAGAAGCAAAUGGAGUCGCUCUACAAGCGUAAAUUGCCAACUAGAGGAGUUCCAUCAACUUUCCAUGGGGAAGAUGAACAUAUGAUGCCCUCAAUCAAGACUAAAAGCUCCUCCAUCAACAAGCAAGGAAUGGGCAACUUUACUAGCUACGAUUAUAGUAACGAAGUCGAUAGAAGAGCUGCAAAGUUCAUUUCCUUCGUUCAAGAGCGGCUCAGGCUCGAGCGAAUCGAUGAUGAUUGGAGGCAGUAGGACUCGUACUUGUGUCCCGAAAAGAAGGCUCCAUGCAUCCUUGUUUACUUUCUUACUACUUAAUCCUUGUGCAAAUUGUGACGAUGUGGUGAAGUGUUUGCUCUAUGGAAGCCAAAGGCUCAGUUCCCAUUUAUAAUUAGAGGGACUGAGCUUCUAUGGUUCGAGUAAAACUUAAUGUUUUGCGCUAUCUAUAUGCGUUUCAAUUUAGCAAGAAUGAUCGUCUUUUGUUUUUUCAA